UGCAACCCGCACAAAAAAGAAGAGUAGGUCUCAAGAAAUAUUAGCUUCGUGAUCACGUAAAUUAAUUUCACUCUUUUUCAGUAGUCUCAACGUAUCAACAGUACCAACCAACCGGCGAACAGGAAAUCAAUUAAGCUCUGAUGCUCUCUCACUGUCUCUCUUCUCUUUGAUGUCAAGAUUCAGUUUACCUUCAACAUGACUCCUCUCCGCACCCGCCCCCAUCUUCUUCUUCAAUCUUGAUGAUCGUGGUAAUUAAUUAUUUCCCCAGUUUUAUAAAAAAGAAUGGCGUACAAUUUUUACAUGUCCUAACUCCUAAUGGUCAAUUUUUUUAUCAAAUAUGUGAAAGAUUUUUCAUUUUUAUAAUUUUUUUUAACUGCAGUGAAUUGUGACAAUGAUGCUGAUCAGGUCACUCAUGAGGUUAGUGACGUCACUAAUGUCUCAGCCAGCAGCCACCUUCGCAACUCUAUUAUACUACAGCAAUCUUCUACCUCGAAACCUAAACUUAGAGCGGCUUGUUCAUCGAGAAUUUCUUGACCGGGAAAACUAUUUGUUCCAUUUUCUCAUCAAUGUCUUGACGUGUUUCUGGUAGCUAUGUAUUAUUAGCUACUUGCUCAGCAAGACAAUUUCUCUACUUGCUCUCCUUGUUUAUUAUUUAGGGUUGGGCUAACUAAAAGCUCUCGUGUGUCGCACAAUACCUCUUCUCUU
rnacentral:lncRNA from 1 species